UGUGGGAGCUGGCUUGCCUGCGAUGGCGGUGGGUCAGCUCCAGAUAUUUAACCUGAUACACCGCCAUCGCAGGCAAGCCAGCUCCCACA
rnacentral:misc_RNA from 1 species